rnacentral:rRNA from 1 species
AAGGAUCAUUACCAAUAUGAAAGCGGUUGGGGAACCACAGGGACAAGAGCUUCGGCUUGCGUUUCUGCCCCAGCUGUCUGAAUAUUCACCCAUGUCUUUUGCGUACUAUUUGUUUCCUUGGUGGGCUUGCCCACCGAUAGGACAAAAUUAAACCUUUUGUAAUUGCAGUCAGCGUCAGAAAAACUUAAUAGUUACAACUUUCAACAACGGAUCUCUUGGUUCUGGCAUCGAUGAAGAACGCAGCGAAAUGCGAUAAGUAGUGUGAAUUGCAGAAUUCAGUGAAUCAUCGAAUCUUUGAACGCACAUUGCGCCCCUUGGUAUUCCAUGGGGCAUGCCUGUUCGAGCGUCAUUUGUACCCUCAAGCUCUGCUUGGUGUUGGGUGUUUGUCCUCCCUGGAGGACUCGCCUCAAAACAAUUGGCAGCCGGCAUAUUGGUAUCGGAGCGCAGCACAAGUCGCACUUCUUUCCAUGAAUGUCAGCAUCCAUCAAGACUAUUUUUCAACUUUUGACCUCGGAUCAGGUAGGGAUACCCGCUGAACUUAA